UACGGGGGGGGCAAGCGUUGUUCGGAAUUACUGGGCGUAAAGGGUUCGUAGGUGGCUCGCUAAGUCAGACGUGAAAUCCCUCAGCUUAACUGGGGAACUGCGUCUGGGACUGGAGAGCUUGAGUGCAGGAGAGGAAUGCGGAAUUCCAGGUGUAGCGGUGAAAUGCGUAGAUAUCUGGAGGAACACCGGUGGCGAAGGCGGCAUUCUGGACUGCAACUGACACUGAGGAACGAAAGCCAGGGGAGCAAACGGG
rnacentral:rRNA from 1 species